CCGUUCCAAGCCAAAAAAAAACCCCGCCUUUUUUUAAGCAUUUUUUCAUUUGCGCAUUUUUGUCCAAUUGCGCAACUGCAGCGCACCGCCGAACGCGCAACCAUAGUGUGUCACCGACCGCGCAACUACACCGCGCUGGUCGCAUUAUUGUGACAGAGCUGUCGCUAAAAUUUUGAAAAUAUUUUUAAAGUCCUAAUGUACUUUCCAAAUAUUAAGUGGACCUUAGUGCGCAGGGAGCUUAAUUUGGUCCGAUCGCGCAACCGCAGCACGCCGGGCGCUCAGUGUCGCAUUGCUCAUGGAGCGUCUUUGUGUAUUAGGAUGGCUUUACUGCUCCC